rnacentral:rRNA from 1 species
CAGUAGCCACGGGAAUACGGAGGGGGCUAGCGUUGUUCGGAAUUACUGGGCGUAAAGCGCACGUAGGCGGCUUGGUAAGUUAGAGGUGAAAGCCCGGAGCUCAACUCCGGAAUUGCCUUUAAGACUGCCGAGCUAGCAGGUGAGAGAGGUAAGUGGAAUUCCGAGUGUAGAGGUGAAAUUCGUAGAUAUUCGGAAGAACACCAGUGGCGAAGGCGGCUUACUGGCUCAUACUGGACGCUGAGGUGCGAAAGCGUGGGGAGCAAACAGGAUUAGAUACCCCCGUAGUCCCUGUCUCUUAUAC